GAUUAACGCUAGCGGCAGGCAUAAUACAUGCAAGUUGAACGGCAGCACAGGUAGCAAUACUGGGUGGCGAGUGGCGCACGGGUGCGUAACACGUAUGCAACCUACCCUAUACAGGCGAAUAACCUUUAGAAAUGAGGGCUAAUACGCCGUAGUAUUACAGCUGGGCAUCUAUUUGUAAUUAAAGAUUUAUCGGUAUAGGAUGGGCAUGCGUCCCAUUAGUUAGUUGGUAAGGUAACGGCUUACCAAGACGAUGAUGGGUAGGGGAUCUGAGAGGACUUACCCCCACACUGGUACUGAGACACGGACCAGACUCCUACGGGAGGCAGCAGUAAGGAAUAUUGGGCAAUGGCCGCGAGGCUGACCCAGCCAGGCCGCGUGCAGGAAGACGGCCUUAUGGGUUGUAAACUGCUUUUAUACGGGAAUAAUAGAGUGUACGCGUACAUUUAUGCAAGUAUCGUAUGAAUAAGCAUCGGCUAACUCCGUG
rnacentral:rRNA from 1 species